rnacentral:rRNA from 1 species
CGGGGUGCAGCAGGCGCGAAACCUUUGCAAUGCGCGAAAGCGUGACAGGGUCAUCCCGAGUGCCGUCCGCUGAGGAUGGCUUUUGCCCGGUCUAACCAGCCGGGUGAAUAAGGGGAGGGCAAGUCUGGUGUCAGCCGCCGCGGUAAUACCAGCUCCUCGAGUGGUUGGGACGAUUAUUGGGUCUAAAGCGUCCGUAGCCGGCUGGAAAAGUUCUCCGUAAAAUCCAACGAUCCAAUCGUUGGAUCGCGGGGAAUACUUUCCGGCUUGGGGGCGGGGGAGGUCGGCGGUAGUCCCGGGGUAGGGGCGAAAUCUUAUAAUCCCGGGAGGACCACCAGUGGCGAAGGCGGCCGACUAAAACGCGCCCGACGGUGAGGGACGAAAGCUGGGGGAGCGAACGGGAUUAGAUACCCCGGUAGCCCCAGCUGUAAACGAUGCAGGCUAGGUGUUAGGACGGGUACGGCCCGUCCUAGUGCCGCAGGGAAGCCAUUAAGCCUGCCACCUGGGGAGUACGGUCGCAAGGCUGAAUCCGAAAGGAAUUGGCGGGGGAGCAC